ncrna:unclassified sequences L13-Bacteroidia ribosomal protein leader
UGUGGCUCAUUUGCAACCACACUCGCGUGUUAAUAGCCGGGUUUCAUUGGCCGAAACACGGUGGUUAGUGAAUC